rnacentral:rRNA from 1 species
CAGUAGCCGCGGUAAAACGAAGGGGGCUAGCGUUGCUCGGAAUUACUGGGCGUAAAGCGUGCGCAGGCGGUUGUGUAAGACAGGUGUGAAAUCCCCGGGCUUAACCUGGGAACUGCGCUUGUGACUGCACAGCUAGAGUAUGGCAGAGGGGGGUGAAAUUCCACGUGUAGCAGUGAAAUGCGUAGAGAUGUGGAGGAACACCGAUGGCGAAGGCAGCCCCCUGGGCCAAUACUGACGCUCAUACACGAAAGCGUGGGGAGCAAACAGGAUUAGAUACCCGAGUAGUCCCUGUCUCUUAUAC